AUCGCUUCUCAGGCUUUUUACCUAGGAUCUAUUGUGUUCACUGGUCUGGCUUUUUGGCCUUGGUCUGGCCUUGAGAAGGUGAAUGGUUAGGGAUGGAUUAAACAGAUUUUUAGAGCUGGGAGCCUGAAAAGGGGCUUGCUACAUCUGCUCCACGGAUCGGGCUGGUAUUGCAGUACAUCCAGUCGUGGUGCACCAUUU